rnacentral:misc_RNA from 1 species
GACGAUUUUGGUCGUUUAUCUACCUGGGGUGAUGAAGAAGAAUGCUGCAAUUGGAAGGGUAUUGAAUGUGACAAAAGAACAGGUCAUGUUAUUGUUCUUGAUCUCCACAGUGAGGUUACUUGUCCAGGCCAUGCUUGUUUUGCUCCAAUAUUGACAGGUAAAGUUAGUCCUUCUCUACUUGAGUUGGAGUAUUUGAAUUUCU